ACAUGCCUACAACAUAGCAUUAAUAAACCAAAUCCCAUUAGAACUAUGUAGUUAACCGUGCUCAGGCUAGAGUAGUACUGGGAUGGGUGACUGCCCGAGAAGUCCUAUUGUUUUACAUGCC
rnacentral:rRNA from 1 species